rnacentral:rRNA from 1 species
UACGGGGGAGCAAGCGUUGUUCGGAUUUACUGGCGUAAAGGCGCGUAGGCGGCGUGACAAGUCACUUGUGAAUCUCCGGCUUAACCCGGAGCGGCCAAGUGAUACUGUCGUGCUAGAGUGCGGAAGGGCUACUGGAAUUCUCGGUGUAGCGGUGAAUGCGUAGAUAUCGAGAGGAACACCUGCGGCGAAGGCGGUCAGCUGGCCGACACGUGACGCUGAGCGCGAAGCAGGAGCGAACGG